CCUGACUCCUAGGCAUCCCCUUCACCAUUCCCCACAUCACUUUCGUGGAUACAGCAAGCUGUGCUCCUUGGGCAAAUCACUGAGCUCCCUCUGGCCUCCGUUCCCUCACCUCUAAGGUUGAAACAGGCGGCGUCACGGGGACGCCAGGAGAAGCAGCAGAAGCCGAAAGAGAAGCCGAAAGAGAAGAAGCCCGAAGCAGAAGCAGAGAAGGCCAGAGAGCCCAGAUAGAGUGAGGAUUUGCUGGGGGCUCGGAGGCCUGCCAGCCUCCUGGCCCCCCAGCACCCCUGCCUGCCAUAUGCCUGGUGAACUCCAAUAAAAGACCUGCAAAAAACCACUGAGGACUCUUGACUCCUCCUUCACCCUGUCUGCAUGGGAUCGGAAAACCUGCACUGUGUCCUGUACCUGCCCUUACAAUUGGCGUAAGUUGGCAAGAUGAUCCAUGCAGAUGGGUAUGGAGCCCUCUGAAGACCUGGAGGGACAAGGAGUAACAGACUGUUUCCCUGUGAUGACGCUGGAGGCAUCAUGGUGACCCAGGAGAUGGACAAGGUCCAGGAUCUACAGGACAAGACCACACCUGGAGGAGGAGACACCUGAGAGGACCAGCCAUCGACACCCGAAAGGACCAGACAAAGACCCCUGAGGCAGCAAGAAUCAUCGGCAAAGAGAGGACCAAGAUUUGGAGCUCGCCAGUACUGAUUCAGGGAGAGGCCAAGAGACUUGGACUGAUAGACUGACAAUUGAACUUGGACUGACAAUCCCACCAGAAGAGCACUGGUUUACCGAUGUGGAGAGAAUGACGGAGGACUUGUUACCAUGGCAGCUGAGCUGAGAGGGAAGCAUCAGUGGGACAAUCACAAUGUAUAAUAUGAAAAGCAUGGGUGUCACCUGUUGGUCAAAUGCAGCCCAGCUCUAGGAGUGUCUAGGGUGUGCAGAGAACAGAACAGCCCUGGAAACUUGGAUAGCAAUGGCCUUGACUGGCAGGGAAGAAAAACACAAAGAAAGCUCCUGAUGAGACAAGACAGCAAUGGGAGAAAACCUUGGCGGAUUUAUACCUAUGUUGCAGAAGGAAAGUAAGUUUUAAAGGAUCUUUUCCCAGAUUAAUGAAAUAUGCUGGCACCCUAAAUUGUAAGUACGUACUCUUAAUAUUUUAUCUGCUCACCUC